rnacentral:rRNA from 1 species
CCAGACUCCUACGGGAGGCAGCAGUGGGGAAUAUUGCACAAUGGGGGAAACCCUGAUGCAGCGACGCCGCGUGAGCGAUGAAGUAUUUCGGUAUGUAAAGCUCUAUCAGUAGGGAAGAAAAUGACGGUACCUGACUAAGAAGCCCCGGCUAACUACGUGCCAGCAGCCGCGGUAAUACGUAGGGGGCAAGCGUUAUCCGGAUUUACUGGGUGUAAAGGGAGCGUAGACGGCGGUGCAAGCCAGAUGUGAAAGCCCGGGGCUCAACCCCGGGACUGCAUUUGGAACUGUGCUGCUAGAGUGUCGGAGAGGCAGGCGGAAUUCCUGGUGUAGCGGUGAAAUGCGUAGAUAUCAGGAGGAACACCGGUGGCGAAGGCGGCCUGCUGGACUGCGACUGACGUUGAGGCCCGAAAGCGUGGGGAGCAAACAGGAUUAGAUACCCCGGUA